UCUUAUAGAUGAGCAAGGAAAGUGGUUUCUUGAGAAAGAAUCUACUCUUAGUGAAGAUACUAUGAA
rnacentral:pre_miRNA from 1 species